UAGAUUGAAGCCGCUGGCUUGGGGUUUUNAGUUGUUACCUCAAGGUUACCGGGAUCGAGGCCCGUCGNUCUAN
rnacentral:tRNA from 1 species